AGAGCGAACGCUGGCGGCAGGCCUAACACAUGCAAGUCGAACGGACCCUUCGGGGUUAGUGGCGGACGGGUGAGUAACACGUGGGAACGUGCCUUUAGGUUCGGAAUAGCUCCUGGAAACGGGUGGUAAUGCCGAAUGUGCCCUUCGGGGGAAAGAUUUAUCGCCUUUAGAGCGGCCCGCGUCUGAUUAGCUUGUUGGUGAGGUAAUGGCUCACCAAGGCUACGAUCAGUAGCUGGUCUGAGAGGACGACCAGCCACACUGGGACUGAGACACGACCCAGACUCCUACGGGAGGCAGCAGUGGGAAUUUUGGACAAUGGGCGCAAGCCUGAUCCAGCAAUGCCGCGUGCAGGAAGAAGGCCUUCGGGUUGUAAACUGCUUUGUACGGAACGAAACGGUCCUGGUUAAUACCUGGGCUAAUGACGUACGUAAGAAUAAGCACCGGCUAACUACGUGCCAGCAGCCGC
rnacentral:rRNA from 1 species